UAUAUUUGCCCCUCUGUUUAUGACAGAUAUAAUUUAUACAUAAUAAUUAUUUAAAAAAAUGUUUGCAUG
rnacentral:ncRNA from 1 species